AUCCUCAUCUUGUCCUUCUUAUUCAGAAUUGCAAAAUCAGGUCACUGCAUUAAAGUCACAAUUGGAUGAACAAAAUAAACGAAAUGAAGAACGUGACAAAAGACUUGAUGCAAUCAUGAACUUCUUUUCUCAAAAUUAUCAAGGUCAAUUGCCUCCUGAGUUGACUAUGUUCAAUCCUGCACCGGUUUCUGAUCAAGGAAGUGUGCCAACUAAUACAACAAGUUCUGGACAUGAGGAAAAUCAUAUGUGAUAGUUGAAGAAUAUAAUAUAAUGUGGAAGUUAAUUGAAUCAUUUUAUGUUUU